rnacentral:rRNA from 1 species
GACGAACGCUGGCGGCGUGCUUAACACAUGCAAGUCGAACGGUAAGGCGCGGCUUUUGUUCUUUUCUGGUGUGUCGAAAGGGGGAGUAACACGUGUGUAACCUGCCCUUUGCUGUGGGAUAACUUCAGUGGACUCGAUCGAAAACCGCGUAUAAGCACCGGCGGCAUGUUUGGUUUUGUAGAGUUGCGGCGGUUGGGGAUGGACUUGCGGCUUUUCAUCGUGUUGGUGGGGUAGUGGCUUACUAAGGCUUUGACGGGUAGCCGGCCUGAGACGGUGACCGGCCACAUUGGGCUUGAGGUGCGGCCCAGAGUGAUACGGGAGGAAGCAGUGGGACAUAGUGCGAGAUGGGCCGCAGGAUGAUGCAGCGACGCCGCGUGGGAGAUGACGGCUUUAGGGCUGUAACCCGUUUUAGACUGUGAAGAAGACUGAGUGACGGUAAUGGGUAAAGAAGCAACGGCUAACUACGUG